UGCCCUAGGCCAGCAACAGAGCAGGCAGCCGUUGCGGCUCCUUGCCGA
rnacentral:SRP_RNA from 1 species